GCUCCAGCCCUCGCGGGUGCUCUGAUUACUAUUAGUAAAAAUGACACACGUAAACUGCGAAUGGCUCAUUACAACAGUUAUUGUUUAUUUGAUACAUUAAAUGGAUAACUGUAGAAAAACUAGAGCUAAUACAUGCCGAAGCCGCAAGGUUGUAUUUAUUAGAUAUUCCAAUUAGGUGAAUCAUGAUAACUUUGCAAAUCUCGUGUUUUGCCGAGAUAAAUCAUCCAAGUUUCUGCCCUAUCAUGCUUUCGAUGGUAGUGUAUUGGACUACCAUGGCUCCACUAGGUUAACAGGGAAUUAGGGUUCUAUUCUGGAGAAGGAGCCUGAGACACGGCUACUACAUCUACGGAAGGCAGCAGGCGCGUAAAUUACCCAAUCCUGACUCAGGGAGGUGGUGACAAGAUAUAACAACGCAAUUUCAUUGUGAUUGUAGUGAGGGUAUUCCAAACCGAACCACUAGUACGAUUAGAGGGCAAGUCUGGUGCCAGCAGCCGCGGUAAUUCAGCUCUAAUAGCGUAUAUAAAGUUGCUGCAGUAAAAGCUCGUAGUGGAUUCAAGAUGUGUACUCUCUCGAGUAUGCACCUACUAGUCUUGACUGUACUGGAGAAUAAAUGUUAAGCAGCUAUGCAGAACAUACAUGAUACGAUGUAUGACUGUUAUUAGUUAAUAAAAGUGGGCUAUUAUUGCAAGAAUUGUUUAAACUGGAAUCCGGUUCACAAGGACACUGGCCUAUAACGGGAGAACCUAAACUGGGUAUAAG
rnacentral:rRNA from 1 species